UCCUGACCGUGCGAAGGUAGCGUAAUCACUUGUCUUUUAAAUGAAGACCUGUAUGAAUGGCAUAACGAGGGUUUAACUGUCUCCUUCCCCCAGUCAAUGAAAUUGAUCUGCCCGUGCAGAAGCGGACAUAAAAACAUAAGACGAGAAGACCCUAUGGAGCUUUAGGCCAAGGACCAAUCAUGUUAAGAGACUACAAAACCAAAAAGAACAAAAAAGUCAACAAACCAAAUGCAACCUCGUCCAAGUGCCUUCGGUUGGGGCGACCACGGGGAAAAAAGAAACCCCCACAUGGAAUGGAAAUUAUUUCCUUAAACCAAGAAAAACAAUUCUAAGCAACAGAACAUCUGACCAAUAUAUGACCCAGGAAAACAGAUCCUGAUCAAUGAACCAAGUUACCCUAGGGAUAACAGCGCAAUCCUUUCCCAGAGCCCAUAUCGACGAAAGGGUUUACGACCUCGAUGUUGGAUCAGGACAUCCUAAUGGUGCAGCCGCUA
rnacentral:rRNA from 1 species